AUGGAGAUCUUAAAGUGAUACACAGGGGAGGUGGUGUGUAAGCAAUAACAAAGGUAUAUAAAUAUGCAAUUGUUAUUGCUUACACACCACCUCCCCUGUGUAUCACUUUAAGAUCUCCAUAU